GACGAACGCUGGCGGCGUGCUUAACACAUGCAAGUCGAACGGAAAGGCCCCUUCGGGGGUACUCGAGUGGCGCACGGGUGAGUAACACGUGAGUAACCUGCCCUGGACUUCGGGAUAACUUCAGGAAACUGGGGCUAAUACCGGAUAGGAAUCCUUGCUGCAUGGUGGGGGUUGUAAAGCUUCGGCGGUUUUGGAUGGACUCGCGGCGUAUCAGCUUGUUGGUGGGGUAGUGGCUUACCAAGGCUUUGACGGGUAGCCGGCCUGAGAGGGCGACCGGCCACAUUGGGACUGAGAGGCGGCCCAGACUCCUACGGGAGGCAGAAGUGGGGAAUAUUGCACAAUGGGCGGAUGCCUGAUGCAGCAACGCCGCGUGCGGGAUGACGGCCUUCGGGUUGUAAACCGCUUUCAGCAGGGGCGAAGCUUGUGGUGACGGUACCUGCAGAAGAAGCACCGGCUAACUACGUG
rnacentral:rRNA from 1 species